rnacentral:rRNA from 1 species
AGUCACUGACAUUAGACUACCCCCGUAGUCCCAGCCGUAAACUAUGCGCGUUAGGUGUACCGGUGACCACGAGUCACGGAGGUGCCGAAGGGAAACCGUGAAACGUGCCGCCUGGGAAGUACGGUCGCAAGGCUAGAAACUUAAAGGAAUUGGCGGGGAGCACCACAACGGGUGGAGCCUGCGGUUUAAUUGGACUCAACGCCGGGAAGCUCACCGGAUAAGACAGCGGAAUGAUUGCCGGGCUGAAGACUCUGCAUGACUAGCUG